AUCAGCCAAAAAUAUAAAAAAAAAGAUUUUUCACGAAACAAAAAUUACAAAAAUGCUCAAACUAUACCCCGUCUAAAGGCGGGAUUGGGUAUUAGAGGGUUAAAGUGACAGUCGAAUUUGACGUGAAAAGUUAUCAUUAUGAAUAUACACCGCUCGUAUCACUUGUGAUACGUUGAAAACCUGUUAUUAUCUAAGAGUAUAUGAUAGAAUUCACCUCUAGCAAGCUGUAUCACAAGCAGAUGGAGGUGAUCAUUGCGAUACACAAAAGUGAAAGUGUUUUGAGUUACCGAAAAAUCCUUAAUAAAGGUCACAACACAUGAAUUUCUUUGCAUUGGUCGACCAAAACUCAUAAAAAUUGUCAAAAGAAGUACAUCCCUGCAUUUCUGCAAGCUGAAUUAUUGUUAAAUUUUAGAAUAAUAGCAUUAAUUAAUGCUGACAUAUAGUUUCUGUGGUUUAGGGAUAUUUGACCCAUGAUAACACCAUGUGGAAUAAAUUCGCCCCAUAUCACCCUAAAAUUGAUAAAAUUCUUGUCAAAAUAAAUUUCAUAUGUCAAAAACUUCACAACAACAUACACCAAGAGACAAAAAGUGAGAUAAUUUGGCGAAAUUUUGAAGUUUCGGAAUUAAUUGCUAUGUGGAUCUUUUUUUCUGUCAUACCCAAUUUUCAAUUCUUAUCAGAAAUCACAGUAUUCUUCAAAAACCAAACAUUUUUCAUCAUAGAUUACUAAAAGAUUUUAAAAUGGAUGAAGUGCAUUCAUUGAAAGGUAUAUUUUAUCAUUUUUGCAUGUAGUUUUUAUUAGAAACUGUGUUUACUAUAUGGUGGAUCUUCUUUUUGUGCCGGUCACUGUAUCUAUCACUGGCAAAAUACUUCACCAUUGAUUAGUGUAGCUUCCAACCGUUCGUAGGAGUUAGGUAUAGACGAGCGCAGCGAAGAGUUCUGGGUUCACUCAUAUGGAGAGGGCCGAUUCACCAACAUCAGCAUAAUAAACUUACACAGCCCUUACUCCGGAAGCACUGAUGAUGGCAAAGACGCAUUUUGGAUUGGAAAGUUCAGCGCUCACCAACUGACGAACGAAAAUGGCCUACGCCUCGUUGAUUUCGCCACCUCCAAAAACAUGGUCAUUGGUCAUUCGUAGCACCUUCUUCCAGCAUAACCUUUCUUAUCAUUACACCUAGAGAAUGCCGUAGCAAACGGAAUCGAAAAUCGACCACCUUCUGAUUAAUGGACGGCACUUCUCCAACAUUAUCGUCGUCAUGACCUAACGUGGCGCUAACAUCGACUCUGGCCACUACCUGAUAAUAGAGCGUGAACUGCGUACAAAACUCUCCGUUAUUAACAAUGUACAGUACCGGUGGCUGCCCCAGUAUGAUCUAGAGUUACUAAAGGAAACGGAUGUCAAUACCGCAUACACGCAGUACGUAGAGCGGAGUCGACGAAACGAUUGGUUCGACGAGAAGAACACAGCGAGGGCGAUAAUAAUGCUGCAGUAAAUAACCCGACAUGAACGUGGAGCAAUACAGGCAAAAGCGAAAUCAGAAUACCCGCCUCUUCCAGAAAAAAAGUGUCACUUAGCUUAGCUUAGACUGACUGCACACAUCUAUGGUUGCUAUUCCGUGAUUGACCCGAAUCAAUGACAGUUGCACAAUGAAUCAACUGAAUAAUUGGCUGGGAGUGGUCAAUAUUCUCACUGUGCACGCUUCAGAGACUCUCUUUAACGGUACAAUAACGGCGCCGGCCACGUCCUUGCAGUCAGGUUGGAAGAGGGAAGGAAUAUUAGUAACAACCUUUGUUAAGUGAAGGCCCGCGUUUACCGCUGCGACUCCACCAAAGGCUGCAGGAAGGAGUGUUUGUUAGUAGGAAAGGUAUCGUUGGGUCUGGAUUCACUUUGAUAAGUAAUAUGACCUUCGUGUCAUGCUGGUUGCCGCGCUAUUGUUUGCUUUACGCGGAAAGCAAACAAUCGACCACCCGCAUCAGGUGGUCGCUUAAUAUGCAAUCUAACACGCUAUUAUUCGCUUCACUCGGAAAGCAAACAAUCGAUCACCCACGUCAGGUGAUCGUUCAGUGUUGCUACAAAAGACGCGACACAACGAAAUGCUCAUUUCCGAAUAGGGAAAAAGAAAAAUCGAAUGACCGAAGCAAAAGCGCGCGACACCGGCACCCCCGUCCCGUCGUCGGUGCCCCGCAGAGAAGAAAAAAAAAAUCGCAAAAAUCUAGCAAAGCGAGCGCGCGAAACUUUGCUGCUGCCGAACUACCGCACACUACUGACUGCUUGGCGUCCCGUCGUCGGAGCCCCGCAGAGAAGAAAAAAAAAAUCGCAAAAAUCUAGCAAAGCGAGCGCGCGAAACUUUGCUGCUGCCGAACUACCGCACACUACUGACUGCUUGGCGUCCCGUCGUCGGAGCCCCGCAGA